rnacentral:rRNA from 1 species
AUUGAACGCUGGCGGCACGCCUAACACACGCAAGUCGAGCGGUAGCAGGACCUGUAGCAAUACAGGUUGCUGACGAGCGGCGGACGGGUGAGGAAUACGUAGGAACCUGCCUUAUAGUGGGGGAUAACUAAGGGAAACUUUAGCUAAUACCGCAUAAUCUCGAGAGAGGAAAGCUGCCGCAAGGUGGCGCUAAAAGAGGGGCCUGCGUCCGAUUAGCUAGUUGGUGAGGUAAGAGCUCACCAAGGCGAUGAUCGGUAACUGGUCUGAGAGGACGACCAGUCACACUGGGACUGAGACACGGCCCAGACUCCUACGGGAGGCAGCAGUGGGGAAUAUUGGACAAUGGGGGCAACCCUGAUCCAGCGAUGCCGCGUGAGUGAAGAAGGCCUUCGGGUCGUAAAGCUCUUUAGGUUGGGAAGAAGGGUGUUAGAGGAGAUGCUAAUACUUUGACGGUACCGACAGAAUAAGCACCGGCAAACUCUGUGCCAGCCGCCGCGGUAA